GGGAAUAUUGCGCAAUGGGCGAAAGCCUGACGCAGCGACGCCGCGUGAGGGAUGAAGGUCUUCGGAUCGUAAACCUCUGUCAGAAGGGAAGAAACUAGGGUGCUCUAAUCAUCAUCCUACUGACGGUACCUUCAAAGGAAGCACCGGCUAACUCCGUGCCAGCAGCCGCGGUAAUACGGAGGGUGCAAGCGUUAAUCGGAAUCACUGGGCGUAAAGCGCACGUAGGCUGUUAUGUAAGUCAGGGGUGAAAUCCCACGGCUCAACCGUGGAACUGCCCUUGAUACUGCACGACUUGAAUCCGGGAGAGGGUGGCGGAAUUCCAGGUGUAGGAGUGAAAUCCGUAGAUAUCUGGAGGAACAUCAGUGGCGAAGGCGGCCACCUGGACCGGUAUUGACGCUGAGGUGCGAAAGCGUGGGGAGCAAACAGG
rnacentral:rRNA from 1 species